rnacentral:lncRNA from 1 species
GAUAAUGACUCCGGUGUGGUUCUUCGACGGGAUGGUGAAGCCUGAGUUCGUGACAGCUCAGCGGUUCCCGGUCCGAUUCGACCCGGUGGAUUACAACGGUGGAAGAGCGCACAGCGAGUCGGAUUCGACAUCGUCGGUGGUUUUAGACUGCAAGCCGAGCAGCAGCGGAGGAAACGGGAGAGUUCUGGAUCUGGAUCUCAACCUCGCCCCGCCGGC